GGUCCUAUGGUCUAGUGGUUAGGACAUUGGACUCUGAAUCCGGUAACCCGAGUUCAAAUCUCGGUAGGACCU
rnacentral:tRNA from 1 species